CGCACUGUGGUUUAGUGGUUAGCACGUACCCUUCACACAUGCAGGGUCGGGGGUUCGAUUCACGCCGCUGCGG